rnacentral:rRNA from 1 species
AACGCUGGCGGCGUGCCUACACAUGCAGUCGAGCGAGGACUUCGGUCCUAGCGGCGGACGGGUGAGUAACGCGUGGGUAAUCUGCCUCAUACACACGGAUAACGUACCGAAAGGUACGCUAAUACGAGAUAAUAUUAAGAAAUGGCAUCAUUUCUUAAUCAAAGAAUUUCGGUAUGAGAUGAGCCCGCGUCCCAUUAGCUAGCUGGUAAGGUAAAAGCUUACCACAGGCGACGACUGGGUAGCCGGCCUGAGAGGGUGACCGGCCACCUGGGACUGAGACACGGCCCAGACUCCUC